GACGAACGCUGGCGGCGUGCCUAAUACAUGCGAGUAGAACGCACAGUUUAUACCGUAGCUUGCUACACCAUAGACUGUGAGUUGCGAACGGGUGAGUAACGCGUAGGUAACCUGCCUGGUAGCGGGGGAUAACUAUUGGAAACGAUAGCUAAUACCGCAUAAUAUUAAUUAUUGCAUGAUAAUUAAUUGAAAGGUGCAAUUGCACCACUACCAGAUGGACCUGCGUUGUAUUAGCUAGUAGGUGAGGUAACGGCUCACCUAGGCGACGAUACAUAGCCGACCUGAGAGGGUGCUCGGCCACACUGGGACUGAGACACGGCCCAGACUCCUACGGGAGGCAGCAGUAGGGAAUCUUCGGCAAUGGACGAAAGUCUGACCGAGCAACGCCGCGUGAGUGAAGAAGGUUUUCGGAUCGUAAAGCUCUGUUGUAAGAGAAGAACGGGUGUGAGAGUGGAAAGUUCACACUGUGACGGUAUCUUACCAGAAAGGGACGGCUAACUACGUG
rnacentral:rRNA from 1 species